GUUACAAGGAGAGGAUCAGGUUCCCCGGCGGGCCAAGCCCAAGGGGAUGAAACGGGAAUGCGGUGCGGAGCGACUCAAUCCGGGGCUCCAAAGCCGCAGCUGCCCCCGCAACUGUCAGCGGAGAAUCUUGCCGCCUCAUGCCACUGCAAGGCCAGCCCUUGCGGGAAGGCGCGGCAAGGUGAAGACCCGCGAGCCAGGAGACCGGCCUGAUGUGGUGCAACCCC
rnacentral:ncRNA from 1 species